rnacentral:tRNA from 1 species
AAGACACUAGUAAAACUUAUAUUACCCUCCCUUGUCAAGGGAGCAUUGCGGGUGGAACUCCCGCGUGCCUUG